rnacentral:rRNA from 1 species
UACAGAGGGGGCAAGCGUUGUUCGGAAUUACUGGGCGUAAAGGGCGCGUAGGCGGCCUUCUAAGUCGAACGUGAAAUCCCCGGGCUCAACCCGGGAACUGCGUGCGAUACUGGAAGGCUUGAAUCCGGGAGAGGGAUGCGGAAUUCCAGGUGUAGCGGUGAAAUGCGUAGAUAUCUGGAGGAACACCGGUGGCGAAGGCGGCAUCCUGGACCGGUACUGACGCUGAGGCGCGAAAGCCAGGGGAGCAAACGGG